UAAGUGCGACUGCCUGAUAAAGCCACAUACCAACUCUGAUGAAGCAGUGUUUAAUUAUUAUUAUUAUUAUUAUAUAAAAAAACUUUUCUAUUAUUAUUAUUUUUUUCCAGUGCUUAGUCAUUUACUGGAUUUGAUAAUAAAUCUCUACUAUCAUCUGUCCUGCAGAUGGAUGCUUUGGUGCAGCAGGCUGAUAAACCAGAUGCGUCAAGACAGGACAGAGACCUUGGAGAGAAAGGAGAGGUUUUAAAAGUUCUCUAUAAAAAUAAGGAUGGAUGGUGGCUGGCUAAAAACUCAAAAGGCCAGAAGGGCCUGGUACCCAAAACCUUCCUGAAGAUGGCUUCUCUGCAUGAUAGUGAGAGAGAGAGAAUGAGGAUGUGGGGGAGAAUGAAGAAGAAGAGAAGGAGUCUGACAUAA
rnacentral:lncRNA from 1 species